rnacentral:rRNA from 1 species
GACGAACGCUGGCGGCGUGCUUAACACAUGCGAGUCGAGCGAGGCCCCUCCUUCGGGAGGGUGUCCUAGCGGCGAACGGGUGAGUAACACGUGGGCAACCUGCCCUCAGCUCUGGGAUAACUCCGGGAAACCGGGGCUAAUACCGGAUACGACCUCCACGGGCAUCUGCGGAGGUGGAAAGUUUUUCGGCUGAGGAUGGGCCCGCGGCCUAUCAGCUAGUUGGUGGGGUAGUGGCCCACCAAGGCGACGACGGGUAGCCGGCCUGAGAGGGCGACCGGCCACACUGGGACCGAGACACGGCCCAGACUCCUACGGGAGGCAGCAGUGGGGAAUAUUGCGCAAUGGGCGAAAGCCUGACGCAGCGACGCCGCGUGAGGGACGAAGGCCUUCGGGUUGUAAACCUCUUUCAGCAGGGACGAAGCGAAAGUGACGGUACCUGCAGAAGAAGCACCGGCCAACUACGUG